UGAGACACCUUCCCAUUAGGUUGAACA
rnacentral:piRNA from 1 species